GGGUGCUCGAGUGGCGAACGGGUGAGUAACACGUGAGUAACCUGCCCUUGACUUUGGGAUAACUUCAGGAAACUGGGGCUAAUACCGGAUAGGAGCUCCUGCUGCAUGGUGGGGGUUGGAAAGUUUCGGCGGUUGGGGAUGGACUCGCGGCUUAUCAGCUUGUUGGUGGGGUAGUGGCUUACCAAGGCUUUGACGGGUAGCCGGCCUGAGAGGGUGACCGGCCACAUUGGGACUGAGAUACGACCCAG
rnacentral:rRNA from 1 species